rnacentral:rRNA from 1 species
AUUGAACGCUGGCGGAAUGCUUUACACAUGCAAGUCGAACGGCAGCACGGACUUCGGUCUGGUGGCGAGUGGCGAACGGGUGAGUAACAUAUCGGAACGUAUCCAAUAAUGGGGGAUAACUAAUCGAAAGGUUGGCUAAUACCGCAUACGCCCUACGGGGGAAAGCUAGGGACCUUCGGGCCUGGCGUUAAUGGAGCGGCCGAUAUCUGAUUAGCUAGUUGGUGAGGUAAAGGCUCACCAAGGCGACGAUCAGUAGCUGGUCUGAGAGGACGACCAGCCACACUGGAACUGAGACACGGUCCAGACUCCUACGGGAGGCAGCAGUGGGGAAUUUUGGACAAUGGGCGCAAGCCUGAUCCAGCCAUUCCGCGUGAGUGAAGAAGGCCUUCGGGUUGUAAAGCUCUUUCGCAAGGGAAGAAAACUUAGCCUCUAACAUAGGCUGAGGUUGACGGUACCUUGAUAAGAAGCACCGGCUAACUACGUG